rnacentral:misc_RNA from 1 species
AAUACCAUCUCUAUAGUUUGUAAUCUCACCAAGUGCAGGCAAACAUAUUAAAGAUCAGAAAGUUGUGCGCACAAAGUGAGAUUACAAACUAUAGAGAUGGUAUUUAGCUAAACUGAGACGGCUCAUGUUUAGUGUCCAGUAACUGACAAGGCACUAAUUUUCCUGCUUUGGACCUUUGGUUAGGAAAAAAAAAAAGGAAAAGAAAAGUUCCUUUCCCUGCUUAAAAUUCAACAAUACCAAAUACAACCUAUCAAUAUGCAUCUACAAGAUCCAAAAAUCUAUCCUUUAAAUCACAUGAUGCCCAAAAUCAAAACCAUCCAAUUUCAAUCAUCAUCAUC